UCGCCCUUAGAGUUUGAUCCUGGCUCAGGACGAACGCUGGCGGCGUGCUUAACACAUGCAAGUCGAACGGGCCUUAACGAAUAGAUUUACUAUGAGCUAAGGUUAGUGGCGGACGGGUGAGUAACACGUGGAUAACCUACCUGACACAUCGGGAUAACACCGUGAAAACAGUGCUAAUACCGGAUACGUUCUUUAGGGCGCAUGGUCUAAAGAAGAAAGGGGGAACCCGGUGACAGAUGGAUCCGCGGCUGAUUAGCCAGUUGGUGGGGUAAAGGCCUACCCAAGCGACGAUCAGUAGCCGGCCUGAGAGGGUGAACGGCCACACUGGAACUGAGACACGGUCCAGACUCCUACGGGAGGCAGCAGUGGGGAAUCUUCCGCAAUGGGCGCAAGCCUGACGGAGCAACGCCGCGUGGGUGACGAAGGCCUUCGGGUUGUAAAGCCCUGUCAAAUGGGAAGAAAGGAAUGACAGUACCAUAAGAGGAAGCCACGGCUAACUACGUGCCAGCAGCCGCGGUAAUACGUAGGUGGCAAGCGUUGUCCGGAAUUACUGGGCGUAAAGGGCGAGUAGGCGGUUAAUUAAGUCAGGUGUGAAAACUGUGGGCUCAACCCAGAGAGUGCACCUGAUACUGAGUAACUUGAGUGCAGGAGAGGGCAGUGGAAUUCCUAGUGUAGCGGUGAAAUGCGUAGAUAUUAGGAGGAACACCAGUGGCGAAGGCGGCUGCCUGGACUGUAACUGACGCUGAGGCGCGAAAGCGUGGGGAGCAAACAGGAUUAGAUACCCUGGUAGUCCACGCCGUAAACG
rnacentral:rRNA from 1 species